AAAUUGCCAUUGAAACUGUUGUUCUUGAGUUCGGUUGAGGUAGGCGGAAUGAGUAAUGUAGCGGUGAAAUGCUUAGAUAUUACUCAGAACACCGAUUGCGUAGGCAGCUUACCAAGCCGACACUGACGCUGAGGCACGAAAGCGUGGGGAUCCAACAGGAUUAGAUACCCUGGUAGUCCACGCCGUAAACGUUGAUUACUCGUUGUUGGCAAUACAUCGUCAGCGACUGAGCGAAAGCAUUAAGUAAUCCACCUGGGGAGUACGUCAGCAAUGAUGAAACUCAAAGGAAUUGACGGGGGCCCGCACAAGCGGAGGAACAUGUGGUUUAAUUCGAUGAUACGCGAGGAACCUUACCUGGGCUUAAAUGUAUAGUGCAUUCCCGAGAAAUCG
rnacentral:rRNA from 1 species